rnacentral:lncRNA from 1 species
GACUGUUUUAUGCAGUGCUGAGGAUGGAACCCAGGGCUUUGUGCAUGCUAAGCAAGCUCUCCAACCACUGAGCCACAUCCCCAGUUCUAACGCUCCCUUACCUUGCUGUCUGACAACGUGAUUUUCCCUGUUGGAGCAGCGAUGCAUCAGGCCACUAAUCCAGCCCAGUGUUUAGUUUACAGGCUGGUGACUUACAUCUUUGUCUACGAGAACCCAGUCUCCCUGCUCUGUGGUGCCAUCAUCAUCUGGCGAUUUGCUGGUGUCACUUCAGUCCGAUCUCGAAUGAAGCGGGCCCUCGUGUUUGGGGUGGUGGUACCCUCGGUCCUUGUGCCCUGGCUCCUGCUGGGUGCCUCCUGGCUUAUUCCUCAGACUUCUUUCCUGAGUAAUGUCUCCGGCCUUUUGAUUGGACUGGCCUGUAUCCUUCUUGGGAGGGAUUGUGGGACAAAGCCCCUACCUAGAGGGACUGGAAUGUCAAGUACAGUCUUGGGCUUCCCUGCAAGCAACUUGGUUCUGCAGCUGGGAAAACUAUGGAGCCUUAGGCAGUUCCCCUCUCCCCUCUCUAGACCAGAACUUACCUGGAAAAUUCCAACAUGGCUGCCUUCCCAGGCCAGCUCAGCACAACCAGUUAACAGUUUGAGGGUUAAUCAUACUGACUUGAUUUUUUUUUCCCCCUGUAAACUAAGAUUAUAAUUUACUUAACUAAUUAUAGUAAGAGUUUUCAUUAGCAUAGGGAUAGGGAGAUGGCUGGGUCAGUAAAGUACUUGUCACAAGUAUGAGAACUCCAGCUAGAGCCUCAGAACUCACAUAAUAAAAGGCUGGGCAGAGUAGUACACAUCUCUAAGCCCAAGCUGGGGAGGUGGAGACAGGUGGAUCCCUAGGCCUCACUGGACAGUUAACUUAGAGUACUUGGGGGAGUUCCAGGCCAUUGAGAGACCAUGCCUCAAAAGUCAAGGUGGAUAACACCUAGGUUGACCUCUGGCCUCCAUAUUCACCUGCACACGUAAGUGUACACAUAAAACCAUACACAGUAUUCAUAGUAGUCUGAGACCCCAUUAGCUGGAAAUGGUGAAGGAAACAUCUGGGGGUUUGUUUUUCACAGCUAGAGGAUCAAACCCAGGACCUUGUACAUGAUCAGCAGGUACUCCACCACCCAGCUACAUCCUAGGUCUUAGUUUUACUUUCUCGAAGGGAAAGGGGUUGAGACAGGGUCUUGCUGUAUAGCCCAGAUUGACCUCACACUCAUGACCCUGCUGCCUCAGUCUCCUGAAUGCUGGGAUCACAGAUGUGCUCCAGUGCACCCCAAUUACAUAUCCCUAUGUGACACUUACUAUAGAUUAAGCAUCCCUAGUCAGGAAUUAUGAGGUCUGGAAUGCCCCCACAUCUAGAACAUUUGAAUGUUCUCCUGACACAAGUAGAUCAUUCACACCUGACCUGACAUGUUGGAUCAUAGUAGAGCAUGGAUGCCCUGAAAAUACUGUGUAAAAUGAUCUCAGUCUGCAAGGUGCAGGAGAA